UCGAUGGCCAUCUAUACCGCGUACUCCAGCAGUCCAGCUGUUCCGUCCGCCCCCCUAUAAAAAAAAAAGCUGUUCCGUCCGUAGCCUUCGCUUCAGUUCAGCACUUGUGAGUUCCUGCAGAAGUGAACACCGCGCUCUCCCCUCCCUCCCUGUCUCCCCUCCCUUCCACACCCAUCCACCCCGCGCAUGGCGCUGGCAGCGGCCCUCGCCCUCGCCCGCGCUGCCGCCCCGCUUCUCCUCCGCGCCCGCCUGGCGCCGUGCUCGGUGCCGGCCCUGUCUCGCCGCCGCCUCCUCUCAUCCUCGCCCACCGCCGACGAGCCCCCUCCCCCCGCGCGGCCGCGGCCGCCUGCGUCGAUGCUGCCCGACCCGGAGUCCCUGCCGCCCUGGAGGGCCGCGCAGGCGGAAAUCCUCGGCGACAUCGACCCCGUCGUGCAGCUUAUCAAGGAUAUCCUCCAUUCUGACAGAUUAACUUGAACAUCAUGUCGACCGCCCAAUGAACAGCAGCAGCCGGCGACCUGAUCGAUUGAUGUGGCAUGAUGAAAGGUCUUGUUGAUCUUCUCUCUUCUAUCAGGGAAAUCGGAUGCUGCAACCUGAAAUACCUAGAAGACUAGAAUAUGUAAAGGCAUGCAUGAUGAACAGAGAUUUCCGGCGGCAGGGGGCAGGGGCCUUAGGCGCAGAGCAAGGAAAUCCUAACCAACCUGACGCACCAUCAUCGAUGAAGAGGAUACGGGGUGUACUGCAGCGGCGGCCGGGAAGUGACUGGGUUGCGGCGCAUCGCGAUGACGGGGAGAAGGGAACAAAGUAGAGUCGAGAGGUGGGGCUGGGCGUGAUCUCGGGCAUUGAUCCAUGGUCCAAAAUAAUUGGAGAAGUACGUGUUAGUAAGAUUAAGAUCCGGUGGCUGUGAUUUAAUAUAGUAAAUGUUGGUCCACCAAACUAACGAUAUGCAGAUGGUGAAUCACUUGGCCCGAAUGAUGAGGCUAUUAUUGUAGAAAAGCUUCUUACUUACCAUCCACGUGCAGAAGAUAAAAUUGGCUGUGGACUUGAUGCUAUAAUGGUUGAUAGGCACCCACAGUUCAGGAAGUCAAGAUGCCUUUUCGUCGUUCGCACUGAUGGCGUCUGGAUUGAUUUUUCGUACCAGAAGUGCCUCCGCGAAUACAUCCGAAAAAAGUAUCCAUCACAUGGAGAAAGAUUUAUACGAGAACAUUUCAAGCGAACCUGAAAAUAGUUGACAUGAAGCCGGGAUCCUUUAGUAGUGUUAAGAUGCUGCAAGUUUUGAAAUCCCUCUGUAAUUAUUGAUUCCCCCCAAGCUUAUGUUUGCUUGCUGCAUUUCCUACUUGCAUUUUAUGAGCAUGUGUACAUCAAAAAAUAGAAAAUCGUUUCAUCACAUAUGAGUUUGAAUGCUA